rnacentral:rRNA from 5 species
GUAACGGCGAGUGAAGCGGUAACAGCUCAAAUUUGAAAUCUGGCUCUUUCAGGGUCCGAGUUGUAAUUUGUAGAAGAUGCUUCGGGUGUAGCUCCGGUCUAAGUUCCUUGGAACAGGACGUCAUAGAGGGUGAGAAUCCCGUAUGUGACUGGUGGCUUUCGCCCAUGUGAAGCUCUUUCGACGAGUCGAGUUGUUUGGGAAUGCAGCUCUAAAUGGGUGGUAAAUUUCAUCUAAAGCUAAAUAUUGGCCAGAGACCGAUAGCGCACAAGUAGAGUGAUCGAAAGAUGAAAAGCACUUUGGAAAGAGAGUUAAACAGUACGUGAAAUUGUUGAAAGGGAAGCGCUUGCAACCAGACUUGCACCCCGUCGAUCAUCCCCCGUUCUCGGAGGUGCACUCGGCGGGGUUCAGGCCAGCAUCGGUUUCGGUGGUGGGAUAAAGGCCUUGGGAACGUAGCUCCUCUCGGGGAGUGUUAUAGCCCUCGGUGCAAUGCCGCCUACCGGGACCGAGGACCGCGCUUCGGCUAGGAUGCUGGCGUAAUGGUUG